AACGAACGCUGGCGGCAGGCCUAACACAUGCAAGUCGAACGCCGUAGCAAUACGGAGUGGCAGACGGGUGAGUAACACGUGGGAACGUACCCUUCGGUUCGGAAUAACUCAGGGAAACUUGAGCUAAUACCGGAUACGUCCGAGAGGAGAAAGAUUUAUCGCCGAGGGAUCGGCCCGCGUCUGAUUAGCUUGUUGGUGAGGUAACGGCUCACCAAGGCGACGAUCAGUAGCUGGUCGAGAGGAUGAUCAGCCACAUUGGGACUGAGACACGGCCCAAACUCCUACGGGAGGCAGCAGUGGGGAAUAUUGGACAAUGGGCGCAAGCCUGAUCCAGCCAUGCCGCGUGAGUGAUGAAGGCCCUAGGGUUGUAAAGCUCUUUUACCCGGGAAGAUAAUGACUGUACCGGGAGAAUAAGCCCCGCUAACUUCGUGCCAGCCGCCGCCGUAAU
rnacentral:rRNA from 1 species